rnacentral:rRNA from 1 species
UACGUAGGGUGCGAGCGUUGUCCGGAAUUAUUGGGCGUAAAGAGCUUGUAGGCGGUUUGUCGCGUCUGCCGUGAAAUCCCGUGGCUCAACUGCGGGUCUGCAGCCGAUACGGGCAGGCUAGAGUUCGGUAGGGGAGACUGGAAUUCCUGGUGUAGCGGUGAAAUGCGCAGAUAUCAGGAGGAACACCGGUGGCGAAGGCGGGUCUCUGGGCCGAUACUGACGCUGAGGAGCGAAAGCGUGGGGAGCGAACAGG